rnacentral:rRNA from 1 species
CCAAACUGGGAUUAGAUACCCCACUAUGCCCAGCCCUAAACACAAACAAUUUACACAACAAAAUUGUCUGCCAGAGAACUACUAGCAACAGCCUAAAACUCAAAGGACUUGGCGGUGCUUUACAUCCCUCUAGAGGAGCCUGUUCUGUAAUCGAUAAACCCCGAUAAACCUCACCACUCCUAGCUAAACCAGUCUAUAUACCGCCAUCUUCAGCAAACCCUUAAAAGGAAGAAAAGUAAGCACAAUAAUAUUACAUAAAAAAGUUAGGUCAAGGUGUAACCCAUGGAGUGGGAAGAAAUGGGCUACAUUUUCUUAUCAAGAAUACACUCACGAAAGUUUUCAUGAAAACUGAAAACUAAAGGUGGAUUUAGUAGUAAAUUAAGAAUAGAGAGCUUAAUUGAAUAGGGCCAUGAAGCACGCACACACCGCCCGUCACCCUCC